GGCUGCACAGUGGUGCAGUUGCUAGCACUGUUGCCUUCCAGAAAGAAGGUCCUGGGUUCGACUCCCAGUCGGGAGUCU